rnacentral:tRNA from 2 species
UCCUGGUAACCUCGGAUGGUAGAGCGCUCCACUUGUAAUGGAGUGGUCCUGGGUUCGAUACCCGGACAAGGUG